rnacentral:rRNA from 1 species
CCCCUAGAUGUUCUGGGCCGCACGCGCGCUACACUGAACAGUUCAACAAGUCUUAACCUUGGCCGAUAGGUCUGGGUAAUCUUUGAACGCUGUUCGUGAUUGGGAUAGACCUUUGCAAUUAUGGGUCUUCAACGAGGAAUUCCUAGUAAACGCAAGUCAUCAGCGUGCAUUGAUUACGUCCCUGCCCUUUGUACACACCGCCCGUCGCACCUACCGAUUGAAUGGUCCGGUGAAAUCUCGGGACGGCGGCUUGGUCGCUUGCGUCCGACUGCUGAAACUUGAUUAAACCAUAUCAUUUAGAGGAAGGUGAAGUCGUAACA